rnacentral:lncRNA from 1 species
AAGUGUACAGUGUGUUACUCAAACAAUAAUGAGUCAGCUGUUGGAAUGGAUUCCUCCAUAGCAACCAAAGCCUCAUACUGAACAUAUAGCAGCAUACCAUGACACAGUGUUUGUUUCUGUUAUUUCACAAAAUUUGACUCAAAUAAUAUACAUAUUCUUCAUAGCUUCAAGAGAUGAUUUUAAGCACAAUCUCUGGAGACAAAGAGGAAGAGGAGGCAGAGGACAGUAAUACAUAGAGUCCUGCUCUGACUGGCAGUCUGAGUGCUCUAAAUGGAGGCGUCAAUCCUUCUCUCUACAGCCAGUUCAAUUUACACAUCAGAGAGCAGAAAAUCAACCAAAUCACCUUGCUAAAGAUCAAGAAAAUUGAGAAAUACCUCACCCCUGAGCAGAAAGAAAAAGAAAAGCUAAGAGAGGAAGAUGAACGGCAAAGGCUUGCAGCCAAGUCUGACAACAUGAGAGAUCAAGCACUCAGUGUUAUGAUGGGUGGAGUUCUGGAACUUAAAAAAGAGGACAUGCUGAGGAUGAUGAGGAAGUACCUCAGCCCGAGUUCAUGUCUAAACCUGAGGUACAAUGGACAGAAGAAGAGAGAAAGAGCUUCAAAGAGUUUGAAAAAAAGCAAAAGAGCUCAGUGAGGAGAAAGAGAAAUACAGAAAGACACUAGAGACAGAAAUGAAGAAACUGCUGACAUCUAUCAAAGAGGCUACCCAGAUGUUUGAUGAAAAACUCACAAAGCUGUUUGAAAGGAAGGUGAAAUCAGAGAUGGUCAUAUACCAAGUAAGCUGAUACAGUACAUCAUUGCAUUUUUGCAUGUCACCUUUUCAGGGGCCUAUUG